GAUGAACGCUGGCGGCGUGCCUAAUACAUGCAAGUCGAGCGAACAGACGAGGAGCUUGCUCCUCUGACGUUAGCGGCGGACGGGCGAGUAACACGUGGAUAACCUACCUAUAAGACUGGGAUAACUUCGGGAAACCGGAGCUAAUACCGGAUAAUAUAUUGAACCGCAUGGUUCAAUAGUGAAAGACGGUUUUGCUGCCACUUAUAGAUGGAUCCGCGCCGCAUUAGCUAGUUGGUAAGGUAACGGCUUACCAAGGCGACGAUGCGUAGCCGACCUGAGAGGGUGAUCGGCCACACUGGAACUGAGACACGGUCCAGACUCCUACGGGAGGCAGCAGUAGGGAAUCUUCCGCAAUGGGCGAAAGCCUGACGGAGCAACGCCGCGUGAGUGAUGAAGGUCUUCGGAUCGUAAAACUCUGUUAUUAGGGAAGAACAAAUGUGUAAGUAACUAUGCACGUCUUGACGGUACCUAAUCAGAAAGCCACGGCUAACUACGUG
rnacentral:rRNA from 1 species